CCUACGGGAGGCAGCAGUGGGGAAUAUUGCGCAAUGGGGGGAAACCCUGACGCAGCAACGCCGCGUGAGUGAGGAAGGACUUCGGUCUGUAAAGCUCUGUUAAUGAGGAAAAAUGGUAGUUGGUCUAAUAGGCCGAUUAUUUGAUGGUACUCAUAGAGGAAGCACCGGCUAACUUCGUGCCAGCAGCCGCGGUAAUACGAAGGGUGCAAGCGUUGUUCGGAUUUAUUGGGCGUAAAGCGCGCGUAGGCGGACCUGCAAGUAAGAUGUGAAAUCUCGAGGCUCAACCUCGAAACUGCGUCUUAAACUACAGGUCUAGAAUCUCGGAGGGGGAAGGGGAAUUUCGCAUGUAGGGGUAAAAUCUGUAGAUAUGCGAAGGAACACCAGAGGCGAAGGCGCCUUCCUGGACGAGUAUUGACGCUGAGGCGCGAAAGCGUGGGGAUCAAACAGGAUUAGAUACCCUGGUAGUCCACGCUGUAAACGAUGAACACUAGGUAUUGGAGGAUUUGACCCCUUCAGUGCCGUAGCUAACGCGUUAAGUGUUCCGCCUGGGAAGUACGGUCGCAAGACUAAAACUCAAAGGAAUUGACGG
rnacentral:rRNA from 1 species